GCUUGGCAGCAAGGGAGUACUUCCGACAACUGAAAACUUGAGGAAGAGGAGCAUUACAUAUGUCAGCGGGUGUUUUAUGUGUAUUAGAUCGGACAAAAAUGUGGAUAACCUCUUUAUACGUUGUCAGGUAGUGUCUUGUUUAUGGUGGGAGAUGUUUAGAUGGUUCGGGUUGCAAUGAGUGUUGCCAUGCACCGGGAAGGAGACACUGUUCAAUUGGACAUUUAGAAGACAGAUGAGAAGAUGAAAGGCGUGUGCAAUUCUAGCAGUAUGUGGGUUGUAUGGAAAGAGUGUAGGAGAAUUACAUACGUCAGGGGGUGUUUUAUGUGUAAGAGAUUCGACAAAAAUAUGGAUCACCUCUUUAUACAUUGUAAGGUAGUGUCUUGUUUAUGGUGGGAGAUCUUUAGAUGGUUCGGGUUGCAAUAAGUGAUGCCAUGAACCAGGAAGGAGACACUGUUCAAUUGAACAUUUAGAAGACAGAUGAGAAGAUGAAAGGUGUGUUCUAUUCUAGCAGUAUGUGGGUUGUAUGGAAAGAGUGAAAUAUGAUAGCUUUUGAAG
rnacentral:lncRNA from 1 species